rnacentral:rRNA from 1 species
GAUGAACGCUGGCGGCGUGCCUAAUACAUGCAAGUCGAGCGAAUGGAUUAAGAGCUUGCUCUUAUGAAGUUAGCGGCGGACGGGUGAGUGACACGUGGGUAACCUGCCCAUAAGACUGGGAUAACUCCGGGAAACCGGGGCUAAUACCGGAUAACAUUUUGAACCGCAUGGUUCGAAAUUGAAAGGCGGCUUCGGCUGUCACUUAUGGAUGGACCCGCGUCGCAUUAGCUAGUUGGUGAGGUAACGGCUCACCAAGGCAACGAUGCGUAGCCGACCUGGGAGGGUGAUCGGCCAGACUGGGACUGGGACACGGCCAAGACUCCUACGGGAGGCAGCAGUAGGGAAUCUUCCGCAAUGGACGAAAGUCUGACGGAGAAACGCCGCGUGAGUGAUGAAGGCUUUCGGGUCGUAAAACUCUGUUGUUAGGGAAGAACAAGUGCUAGUUGAAUAAGCUGGCACCUUGACGGUACCUAACCAGAAAGCCACGGCUAACUACGUGCCAGCCGCCGCAGUAA